rnacentral:lncRNA from 1 species
AUUGCCUGCUAGGAUAUUUUUUCUCUUGCCUUGGUUGCCACUCUGUAAUUUUCUUUGUCCAUCGGUUAUCUGUAUACUGUAUCUUGCUAUAAGGCCUGCCCGACGCCAUUUAAUGCUUCUAACUGUAGCCAUUAUGUCUUUUAUUUUUGUUUGUUCUUUUAUCCAUAUGUUGAUCUUGCGGUCCUUCCUGGAGAAUCCUAGCAUGUAUCUUUACAUGUAUCUUUGGGUUUCUGCUAGUUUCUGUUCCAUUUUCUAUGUAAAGGUCUAUGUUUCACAGCCAUACAUCAUUGCUGAUAGUAUGUACAGUCCUGUGCAAAAAGUUUGUCAGGUUCUGUCUAGGAGAGGAAGUGGCUGACUCACCAUCAAUUAUUACAUCAGGCAUUAACAUCCGAAGACAUCUUGAAAUAGAAUGAACUCGACCAUUGUCUU